rnacentral:rRNA from 1 species
UACUCCUACGGGAGGCAGCAGUGGGGAAUUUUGGACAAUGGGCGAAAGCCUGAUCCAGCAAUGCCGCGUGUGUGAAGAAGGCCUUCGGGUUGUAAAGCACUUUUGUCCGGAAAGAAAUCCUUGACUCUAAUACAGUCGGGGGAUGACGGUACCGGAAGAAUAAGCACCGGCUAACUACGUGCCAGCAGCCGCGGUAAUACGUAGGGUGCAAGCGUUAAUCGGAAUUACUGGGCGUAAAGCGUGCGCAGGCGGUUUGCUAAGACCGAUGUGAAAUCCCCGGGCUCAACCUGGGAACUGCAUUGGUGACUGGCAGGCUAGAGUAUGGCAGAGGGGGGUAGAAUUCCACGUGUAGCAGUGAAAUGUGUAGAGAUGUGGAGGAAUACCGAUGGCGAAGGCAGCCCCCUGGGCCAAUACUGACGCUCAUGCACGAAAGCGUGGGGAGCAAACAGGAUUAGAUACCCUGGUAGUCCACGCCCUAAACGAUGUCAACUAGUUGUUGGGGAUUCAUUUCCUUAGUAACGUAGCUAACGCGUGAAGUUGACCGCCUGGGGAGUACGGUCGCAAGAUUAAAACUCAAAGGAAUUGACGGA